UUAAAGCGCGUAUUUUUAUCAAACUUGGCCUCUCCUCCUCCAUUCUUUCAUCCUUUUUCUUAACUCGUCUCGUUUCCGUGUCCGCUCCAUUCUCCGCUCUCUUCCUCUAUAUAUAUAUAGUCAUAUAUCUUCAUCAAUAUUAUUCUUAAUUAUAAUCCUGCUGUCUUUUUCUCGUCUCUCUGGUUCAACUCCAAGACAAGCCUUUUUGGUUCUGAGAUGAGUGAUCCCAAGUACGCCUACCCUUACCCUGCUCAAGGUUACUACCAAGGACCACCGGUGAUGGCACCACCUCAGUAUCCUCAGUAUGCAGCAGCUCCGCCUCCAAGGAGAGAUACUGGUUUCCUUGAAGGAUGUCUUGCUGCGCUCUGCUGUUGCUUCCUCGUCGAUGAGUGCUGCUGUGAUCCGUCAGUUUUAUGCAUUUGGUGAUGAAAUCUGAUAAGCUUUGCUUGAUUUCUGGCUAAAUAUUAAUCAUGUGCUACUUGUAUUAAAAGUGUGUUGUUGUGUGUAAUUAUUGCCUUGCCUUGCAAAUUUGAUGAUAAGAUUCUCUCUGAGGACUGUUGUAUUUUGCUCAGCUUCCUAAUGGGAUUUUGAUUUUUUUUUUAAUUU